UGAGAUAUGGUGUAAUGGCAACACAGCAGAUUUUGGUUCUGCUAUUCAAGGUUCAAAUCCUUAAUACAAGGGAAAUGCGGUGGUUUCACCGAGACAUCUUGUAGGUCGCAUA
rnacentral:tRNA from 1 species